AAGAGCUCGUAGGCGGUUCGGUAAGUCGGGUGUGAAACCUCCAGGCUCAACCUGGAGACGCCACCUGAUACUGCUGUGACUAGAGUCCGGUAGGGGAGUGUGGAACUCCUGGUGUAGCGGUGAAAUGCGCAGAUAUCAGGAAGAACACCAGCGGCGAAGGCGGCACUCUGGGCCGGUACUGACGCUGAGGAGCGAAAGCGUGGGUAGCAAACAGGAUUAGAUACCCGAGU
rnacentral:rRNA from 1 species